GAUAAGUUGAAUAUAGUCCCUUGACACGCCGCCGAUGUGAAAAGCUUCGUUUUUUUUCUCUCUUCCGGUUUAUCCGGUUGAUGUGAAUUAAACCGGUUGGAGCUCUUAAACCGGACCAAAUCGGUUAAACCGGAAAUUGGCACAAGCCUAUUUCUGAAUGUUGUCAUCUUGGCGGAUGAUAAAUGAUUUUGGCUUCAUAUUACGGUUGCCCUCUUUAGCUCUGCGUCAUAUGACAGUAGGUGACUAAUUGCUGCAUUAAUUCUGAAAAUGUAAUGUGGUCACAGCUGUGUGUCCUUUACAACAGCUUUGAACCAUGCCCCCAGGAACAAUGCUGGGCUUUGAAGCCAGUUUUACAUAGUGGUCACAUGUGGAAUCACAAAUUCCAGGUCCAUCACAUGAUGCAGUAGGGCCCAAAAAGACUUCUACCCAUUGUGAAAGAGGUGUCUGUAAAUUAAUGGAUAUGUUUUUUUGAACAUCACCACCCUGAGAAAUGACUUGCUUUACUAUGGGGAAUGAAAAACCAUUCAUGAUUAAAUUUUAUCCCCAACCAAGUUGGUGGAGGGCUAAAGUGGAAGUUAGCCGCUCAGCUGGCAGAUGUCUCUAGUGCCCUUGGUCUGUGGGUCCCAUGAUAUGGAAGAUCCAGGUAAUUUUAUACCGUGGAAAUCAAGAUUUUUUGGCUUCAUGCGCCACUGAGCAACUUUCUGUACCCAGUUCUCUUUAUACAUCCAUGCUUUGAGCACAGCUCAGACAAGGACUGGAAUUAUCCAUUUUAUAAGUUGAGUAUAGUUUUAGUAAUUAAUGGCUAAUUAUUCUCCCUCUAAUGUUGCAGCAGGCUCCUCUCUGCAAGGCAGGACCAGGUUUCUGAACCGAGACCCAGGGACUCAGCAGUCUGUGCAGAAAAUCCAACCUAUUAACCUGGACCAGGAUCCUGAUCAGGAGGUCGUUACCACAACCAAAACUGAGGUCCACAUCAGCAUUUUUCAAAAAAAUAACCCACCGCAGGUGACGAGAUGCACUGUGUGCUGUGCACUUUUUCACUGCCCCCUUUGCCCUACUGGCAUGUACAAGCCUCUGUCAAAGGCCAUGGUUUUUCAGCACUUGGAUGUGCAUUAAAAAAAUGUGCUCCAACAUGAAGAUUUCUACAUAACCAAAUGCAAUCAGGCCUGCAGGACUGGAAGCAGUGGCCACUUCCACUGCCCUUUCUGCAGUAAAACAACUGUCAGAAGGCAGGAUGCAGAGAGGCAUUGCAAAUCUGCCGGCCACUGUCUGUACUAGUAGAGGAGAGACCUCAGGACACGACAAAACAGAGUGAUCCCAUCCCUGACGGACAGGAGGACACAGCGACUGACAACUGCAGUAAACAGUCUGAAUUGUCCUUGCCAUGCAGCCCUAGCCUGGACAACCCUCCCCGCAGAGUGCUGCUAGCAAAAUUGACAAGUAUUGUUUGUCACCACUGCAAUGUGCAGUUUCUUAAAAACAAAUGAAGAAACACAUCUACAGAAAACGUACG